UACAGAGGUCUCAAGCGUUGUUCGGAUUCAUUGGGCGUAAAGGGUGCGUAGGCGGCGCCGGUAAGUCGGGUGUGAAAUCUCGGGGCUUAACUCCGAAACUGCAUUCGAUACUGCCGUGCUUGAGGACUGGAGAGGAGACUGGAAUUUACGGUGUAGCGGUGAAAAUGCGUAGAUAUCGUAAGGAAGACCAGUGGCGAAGGCGG
rnacentral:rRNA from 1 species